GAUUAUGGCUCAGGACGAACGCUGGCGGCGUGCCUAACACAUGCAAGUCGAGCGGGGACAUACGACGGAGUCAAAGUUUCGGAUGGAGACGAAGAUGUAUGUUCUAGCGGCGGACGGGUGAGUAACGCGUGAGCAACCUGUCCCUUACAGGGGGAUAACACAGCGAAAGUUGUACUAAUACCGCAUGAGACCACGGGAGGACAUCCUCCAGGGGUCAAAGGAGCAAUCCGGUAAGGGGUGGGCUCGCGUCCGAUUAGAUAGUUGGUGAGGUAACGGCCCACCAAGUCGACGAUCGGUAGCCGACCUGAGAGGGUGAUCGGCCACAUUGGGACUGAGACACGGCCCAAACUCCUACGGGAGGCAGCAGUGGGGAAUAUUGGGCAAUGGGGGGAAACCCUGACCCAGCAACGCCGCGUGAGGGAAGAAGGUUUUCGGAUCGUAAACCUCUGUCCUUGGUGAAGAGGAAGAGACGGUAGCCAAGGAGGAAGCCCCGGCUAACUACGUGCCAGCCGCCGC
rnacentral:rRNA from 1 species